AGUGAACGCUGGCGGUAGGCCUAACACAUGCAAGUCGAACGGCAGCACAGUAAGAGCUUGCUCUUACGGGUGGCGAGUGGCGGACGGGUGAGGAAUACAUCGGAAUCUACUUUUUCGCGGGGGAUAACGUAGGGAAACUUACGCUAAUACCGCAUACGACCUACGGGUGAAAGCAGGGGAUCUUCGGACCUUGCGCGAUUGAAUGAGCCGAUGUCGGAUUAGCUAGUUGGCGGGGUAAAGGCCCACCAAGGCGACGAUCCGUAGCUGGUCUGAGAGGAUGAUCAGCCACACUGGAACGGGGACACGGUCCAGACUCCUACGGGAGGCAGCAGUGGGGAAUAUUGGACAAUGGGCGCAAGCCUGAUCCAGCCAUACCGCGUGGGUGAAGAAGGCCUUCGGGUUGUAAAGCCCUUUUGUUGGGAAAGAAAAGCAGCAGGUUAAUACCCCGCUGUUCUGACGGUACCCAAAGAAUAAGCACCGGCUAACUUCGUG
rnacentral:rRNA from 1 species